CAAUAGCGUAUAUUAAAGUUGUUGCAGUUAAAAAUCUCGUAGUUGGAUUUGUGGCGUACGGUGUGUUCCGGGCACUUGUUGUCUGAGUAACCUGCUGUUGCCAUCCUUGGGUGGAACCUGUGUGGCAUUAGGUUGUCGUGCAGGGGAUGCCCAUCAUUUACUGUGAAAAAAUUAGAGUGUUCAAAGCAGGCUUAUGCCGUUGAAUAUAUUAGCAUGGAAUAAUGAGAUAGGACUUUUUUGCUAUUUUGUUGGUUUGCGCAAAGAGGUAAUGAUUAAUAGGGACAGUUGGGGGUAUUCGUAUUCCAUUGUCAGAGGUGAAAUUCUUGGAUUUUUGGAAGACGAACUACUGCGAAAGCAUUUACCAAGGAUGUUUUCAUUAA
rnacentral:rRNA from 1 species